rnacentral:lncRNA from 1 species
UUCCAUUCUCACUUUUUUUCCCUCUCUUUUCCCAUUUUCUCCUCGAUUUUUGUUUCUAAUUUUCUUGUUGUGUUUCAAAAAUUAAAUAUAUCUGAUGAUGAUUUAUUCGUUCAUUAGUUUGUGCAUUUGAUUUAAUAAUUAACUUUUUAUAUGUAAUAUUUGAGAAAGAUUAUAGUUUUUCUUGUCUAUACUUAUAUAAUAAAGGAGUCCCUGACUCUAAUUUCGGGGGAGAAAAAACGAAUGUCUUAAAAAAAGAUUAGGGGGUAAUUUUCGGAAUAAAAACUUUUACAUUUGCCGGAAGUGGAUACCAGAAGAACAAGGAAGAAGUUUCUGGAGACAAAGCCUAGAAACCACCGAUUAUCUUCAAGCCUUUUUUGUCUUCCUGUUUUCCUUUUCUCGAAAAUUUCUCUAAAAAUUAUCUUCAAAAGAUCAAAAAUCGACCUCCUUCUCUCUUUGUUUCAAACCUUGCUAAGACAAAAAAAAAAAAAAACUUGCAACGAAGCCCAGAAGUCGAGCGAUGAAAGCCAAUGUUCUCGGUGGUCUGCCAUCGUCGCUUUCGCCUUUCGCGGUCACCUCCAGCAGUUUAGCUUCUUUGCCCAAACCCCAGAAGUGAAACUAGAAAACUCCAAAUUUUAAAUGAAACCCAUAGAAAAAACCUUGGCCUUUUUUUUAUUCUUUCUUUGCAAUAUUAUUUUCUUUGUAGUUGGUUCUGUGAAUUUUUUUAGUGAUUGCUUGAAGUUUGCCAUGUUAGGGAUUGUUUGUCUCUAGUUGGAUUUGCUCGGUUUGAUUGGGUUUCUAGAUUUGAGCUCUUAUGUGUAAUUGCUGAUUGCGAGGUUGAUGACUAGGCUUAUUGUUUUUUAAUUGGUGGUUUUUUAUUGUAGAAAUUAUGUUGGUCUCGAUUGCUUUUGUUUCUGCCUCAGAUUGUUUCUUUUGUGGCUGAUUGCUUUGUGUUUCUCUAUUGGAUAAAUUGUUUAUGGGUAUUGAUGAAUUACUUGAACUAUUACGUUUCUGAUCUUUGGAAAGAACAGACUUUAUUAGAAAAUCUACAACUAAGGCUUUUACAACCUUGACUUGCUGAUGGGUUUGAAUCAAGGCUUCUUAUGCAUUUCUUUUUCCCUUCUUCUUCUUUUUUUUUUUUUUCCUAAUCUUUUUAAUCCAGAUCUAGCUCUGAUUUCUCCAUAGAGGUGAAAUUUUUAAAUUUUGAGUCGAUCUUCAAUUUUGAGUAUGAACCCGAGCUAUCCUUCUUCUGUUAUGUAGCUUACAAUGUCGUUUUAGGCUUUGCAUGAUAAGCAACUGAUUUGCACGUGAUAAAAGAUUACAUUUUUUUGAGGUGAUUAAAUUUAGAAAACAUAAAGAGAAAAGAAGUGGAUUUAAAGUGAAUUUCAUUUAUUUUUAGUUAUUUGGAUCGAGAAAAGAGAUGAAAUUGCAAAUCUUAUCAUUACAAAAAAUUUCAUUCCUUUUUAACCUUUAUGACUAUAGAAUUUUGCUACUCUUUAAUUUGGCAUGCUUAAUUUUUAUUUCUUCUUAGUCUAAGUUUUUCUGCUCUAGCAUUUUGCCUAAUUCUCGAAUUUUCAAUUUUUUUAUGGUUAAUUUCUUUGAGAGUUAUAAUCUAACCCAGUUGAGCAUCAAAUCUUAAUUGGAGGUUGAUGUUACUAAUAUGAUCAAAUAUAAUGUUUGAAUGGUAUUGCUGAAAAUUUCCGAAACUUCUGCAGUGGUAAUAUGGACACAGGGCAUUUUCUAUUUACCCCUUUUGUCAUCUUCCUGUGAAUUCACAUAUGAGUUUUUCUUUUUAGAUUUCUCAUGCCGUUUUGUUUCUAAUGAAAUGGGCAAUAUGACUAAGUGUUGGUUUGCAUCUUGCACAAGCUCUAGAAUACUGCUCCAGCAAAAGAUGUGCCCCGUAUCAUGAUCUAAAUGCUUAUAAAAUAGUUUUUGAUGAUGUAUGUUAUUUUAAAUUUUUUUUUCUUUCAUAGUUAGAAAUUAGUAUAAUUUCAUCAGUUAUGCAUAUUAAUUUUAGGAGGCAACCCUAGACUUUCAUGCUUUGGUCUGAUGAAGAACAGUAGAGAUGGAAAAAGUUACAACACAAAACUAGCUUUUACUCCUCUUGAGUAUUUAAGGACAGGUGCUUAUUCUCUUUAACAAGCAAUAAGCCUUUUUACUUGCAUGCUAAUCUUUACUUAGUAGCAACAUAUUUGGAAUUUUAUGGUUGUAUUUAUGGCCCUGCCUGUUGAAUACCCAUGAAUUAAACCCAAUUACGACUUGCUAAUCAAGCUCUUAAAAUAGGAUUUCCGCCUUUGACUUAUUUUUCUUAGUUAUCUACCUCACUUUAUCACUUUAUGCAAUAUGUUAUAAUUACGAGUUGCUAACCAAGCUCUUAAAAUAGGAUUUCCGCCUUUGACUUAUUUUACUUAGUUAUCUACCUCACUUUAUGCAAUAUGUUAUACUUUAGUGCCUUACAUGUAGAGAAUUACCAUUUUCCUUUGUUCAUGCAAGUCACUUUCUUUUAGGGCAUUAUACAUUAUUUAUAUGACAAGUAGAUUUUAUAGAAGGUAUCUGUUCUUUAGGACGUACUGUGUACUACCUUUUGAAUAGAAUGCUAUUUAGAAAUACUAUUUGUAUGGGACUACAAAUAUGCUAUAUGUUGUUUAUAAAUGUAGAUGUGGUAACAUUUGUUAUUGCUGUUCACUC